GCAUGACGCCCGGCGGCCCAGCAGGGUUUUCUCCUCCCGGCUCGAGGGACCUCUCCGACCUGAGCCUCGACUGCAGCCUCGCUUUUUCCCGUAGCCGGGCAGCCCGAGCAUUAGUCCAUUCAUUCUGUCGCCGGUGUGCGCGUAGCACAAUUACAGCCUUUGAAGCCCAGCGUACGCGCCAUGAACGCCCAACUACAUAACUACUCGCCUACCACCUCAGUCAGCUACCUGACCAGCCCAUCCUACUCGCCCACGUCGCCAUCUUUACUCGUUGUCGCCCAAGCUACCCUCUGUCCUCCCCUUGCUACUUGCCAACCCCUGCGUCACACAGCCAGAGGUCGUCGCCGUACUGAUCCUCUCCAGCGUCAUCGCCGUGGUAUACAAGUUGUUUUAAAGACGGUUUAAAUCCACAACAGCAGUGACAGUCCGUACAACUGGAUUUCUCCGGGCGACGCGAAAGCUAUGGUUGAGCACGGUGAAAAUAAUACGGCAACAUUCAGACGGUGGUGAACAACUGGUUGCUGCUUGAUAGCCACUCGACCAGCUUCAGCGACAAGAUUGCCGAUCCGCAGACCUACACGGAGAUCAAGAAGGCCAUCAAGCCCUUUGAGUAACUGGUCAACCGCAUUUUGAUAGACGCUCGUGACAAAGGCUGCGGUAGCUCGGUGAAAAAGUCGCUUAUAAAGUACAACAACCUCAAGGCUAUAAUCAUCGCUGGCUCGCAGGUGGUGUGCAACCUCAUCAUCAUGGCCGGUGAGGAUUGGCUGAGCAAAUAGGCUAAUGAGAACGCCAUGCUACUCAGCGCCGAUGCCUUCGACUUGUUGCUCGUCUUCAAAGAUUCCAACAGGCUCCUGGCGAGGUGGUGAGCGCCCUGGCGGCGCAGUACAUCGACGAACCUGCCACUCAGAUGACGCUAAACACUUUCCUCUUUGCUUGUUUGUCGUUGACGAACUUGACACUCUGUGUGCCUAUGCUGAAGGGAAUCAACAACAUCAGCAAGAAGCCCGAUUCUGUCUUUCGCCGUCUUUAGCGGCAUGACGCCGAGCGGCCAAGGGUUGUCUCCUUCGGGCUAGAGUGACGCCUCCGGCCCGAGCCCUGGCUUACAGCUCUGCGUGGUCGCUGCAGCCAGGCUCCAGUCUCCGUCCCCGUGGGGCCCAGCUUACGCGCUGUGGACGCCCAAGUAACUGUCCACCAGCCCCUGCUUCCUGACCAGCCAGUCUAACUCCGUGUUGCCAUACUACUCCUCGCUACUACUCCUCCUAGCUACUCAGCAGCGACGCCAUGGUUCUCAUCCACCUACCCCUUUUUACACGCCUCUUCUCCUGCGUUCAACCCAUUGAUUUUCAAGCUGAAAAGACGUUCCUCAACCCCAAUAACAGCUUCU